rnacentral:misc_RNA from 1 species
GAGAAAAAAAAAAAAAAAAAAAGGAUUUUGGUUUGUGGGUAUUGUAUAAGAGGAAAAACCCAGAAAACCACAAACGGGUUAAAACAAGAGAAAUAGGGAGUCUCUCAUGAAGCCCGCAUCUCCUAGAGAUCUGGUGGAGAAAACGUUGAAAGUGUCACUAGAGAGACAGACAAAGAAGGUAAUGUUUAGGAGAGAUAUAGAGAGAGAAAGAAUGAGCUGGCUAAGAGAAACAAACGUCGUUGGGUGCGAUAGAGAAAAGAAAGGGGUUAAAAGCCUUUUUAUGUUGGGGUGUUACACAUUGCUAGUUGCUGCAUGACAUGACACGAGAGAGAAAUUAGAUGAGAGAGAAAGCGAAAGCGAAAGCAGAAGGGGAGAGAG